rnacentral:rRNA from 1 species
GAGACAGCAGCCGCCGCGGUAAUACAGAGGGUGCGAGCGUUAAUCGGAUUUACUGGGCGUAAAGCGUGCGUAGGCGGCUUCUUAAGUCGGAUGUGAAAUCCCUGAGCUUAACUUAGGAAUUGCAUUCGAUACUGGGAAGCUAGAGUAUGGGAGAGGAUGGUAGAAUUCCAGGUGUAGCGGUGAAAUGCGUAGAGAUCUGGAGGAAUACCGAUGGCGAAGGCAGCCAUCUGGCCUAAUACUGACGCUGAGGUACGAAAGCAUGGGGAGCAAACAGGAUUAGAUACCCCAGUAGUCCCUGUCUCUUAUAC